UACGAAGGGGCCUAGCGUUGUUCGGAAUUACUGGGCGUAAAGCGCACGUAGGCGGCUAUUUAAGUCAGGGGUGAAAUCCCGGGGCUCAACCCCGGAACUGCCUUUGAUACUGGGUAUCUAGAGUCCAGAAGAGGUGAGUGGAAUUCCGAGUGUAGAGGUGAAAUUCGUAGAUAUUCGGAAGAACACCAGUGGCGAAGGCGACUUACUAGACACAUAUUGACGCUGAGGUGCGAAAGCGUGGGGAGCAAACAGG
rnacentral:rRNA from 1 species